ACUUGGUAUUUUUCAGGACCCUGACGAAAUGGACGGAUAUAGACAAUGUUUCGUGAUAGUGGACAAGGAAACGAAAUCUCUCAUUAAUGUGCAUGGAGCUCUCUACAGCUUGGGAUCCGUUAUCAGAAUCAGAUGGUCAGCCAUCUUGGAUGUGGAAAACAAUGGGCACCAGAGAAAGCUGUAACCACAGGCAGAGUGCCCGCUUUCAUCAUUUCCGUCUCAUGUUAUCAGAGGUGGCAAGAAGAGCGAAAAGAGGUUGGCCAAGAAAAACAAGAAGGAAGGAAAGUUUGCAGAGUUCCUAAGAGGCUAGGAACUCCAGUGAGCAGAGGCUCUCUUUUUCCAGAUCUGGGAGUCCAAGAUUCUGACACUGAGAGAUCCUGAGUCACAGAGCUGAGGGCUCCAGACAGCAGAUCCUGGGUUUCUCUGUGCCCAAGUGCUUCGGGGAAUAAAUUCAACCGUCCAGGAGAAGAGUCUGAGACC
rnacentral:lncRNA from 1 species